CAGAUGUGGCAAUGCCAGAUUCUUACCCUGCUAUGCCAGAGUUGAACUUAUUAGCUGAAAACCUUUUCCCCUUUAUGCUUUUAUGUCCUUUGUUGCCUAUCCCAAAAUAUAAUCUCCUGUUUCAUUUAUUUCCCCUUUCACAGUUAGGCUAUAUUCCAUAUGGAACUGACUUUUCUGUCUUGUGUGAGGGAGGGGGUCUAGAUAAUUUUUUAUUGGAAAGACCAUCAUUUCAUCCAUCGCAAUGGUGUCCAUCAGUUCUAAGUCAGACGAUCUGUGUUUGCAGAUCUGUGCCUACGCAUCCUGUAACAUUGGUCUAUUUGUCUAUCCUUGCGCCAACCAACUUUACAGUCACAGCUAGAUAACAAUCUAAGCAUUUAUUUACGUUUUCAAGUUUCUCUCAAGGUUAUGAUUUUCUUUCAAAAAUUUAUCUUUAGGUAUCUGAUAUUUUAUGCGAGGGUAAAUUGCAUCAUUUUAACGAUUUCAAUUUCUAUUUGUUUCUGAUAUAAAUACAAUUGGUUUUUGUAUACUUUGUAUCCAGCGACCUUGAUAAAUUAUUUUGUUCAUAGAUUCUUUUGCACUUUCUAUGCACAAUGCUGGCUGUCUAUCAAUAGUGUUAUUUCCUCCUUUCAAAACUGAUGCCUUUACUUCAGGCCUUAUUUUACUGGUUAGGAUUUCAAAUAUAAUGUUAAACAGUAAUGGUUGUUGUUAUUGUACUUCAAAGAUCUGACUUGUUGGCUUUGUUGAUCUUCUCAUAAAUAAACUAUGUUAUUUCAUUCACUUCCGAUCUUUUAUUUUUCCUUAUUCUUUUUCUAGCUUCCUGAAAAUAGGAGUUUAGGUCACUGAUUUUCAGCCUUGCUGCUUCUUUUUUUUUCUUUGCCACAUAGUGCAGUGGCUUGAUAUGGAAUCUCAGUUCCCAGACCUGGGAUAGAACCAGGGCCGCAGCGGUAAAAGCUCCAAAUCCCAACCACUACAUCGUCAGGGAACAUCCCACUUGCUUCUUUUUUAAUAUAUGUACUUAAUGCUAGAAAUUUCCCUACAUACAUUGCUUCAGCUGCAACAAAUUUUGGUAUCUUUGUUACUCUUCACUCAAAACAUUAAAAAAACAUUUUUUUGACCCAGAGUGUUUCAAAACGUACUACAUCAUUUCCAAGCAGUUGGGUUUUUUUUGGGGGGGGCGCGGGGGCAGGAGUUGCCUGCAGUAUGUGGAACUUCCCAGGACAGGGAUGGGAGCUGGGCCACAGCAGCAACCUGGGAUGCUGCAAUGCCAAUGCCAGAUCCUUAACCUGCUGUGCCACAAAAGAACUCCAGUUGGGAGUUUCUUUAGCCAUCUUUUUGUUAUUGGUUUCCAGCUUAAUUCCAGUGUUAGGAAAUAAAGAAUGAAGGCUCUUGAUCUGUUGCAAUUUGUAGUCUGGUUUGCAUUAUGACUCAGCAGAGUCAACCUUGAUAGCUGGCCGAUCAUUCAUGUUUACAUAAAGAAACUGAAUUAUGCCUUUUUGAUCAAAUGUUCAACAUACAUAAAUUAGUUGAAGUUUAGUGACUGCAUUGUUCAGAUCAUCUGCAAUCUGAGCUUUUUCCUUUUGGUCUGAAUAUUCCGCCAGCUAUUGCAAAAUCUACGCAAAAGUUUCUAACUAUCGUUGGAGAUUUACUUAUUUCCCGUCUCAUACCAUUUUUGCUUUAUAUAGUUUACAUUCAUCCUGGGCAUAUACACAUUUAGGAUUAUGUGGUUUGCAUGGCUUCUUUCACCAUUACAAAGUGUCCUUUUUAUCUCUAGUGAUGCUUUUUGCUUUAAAUGUCUUUGCCUGAUAAAACCAGUCACGUUGUUUCCAUUUUGGUUGUUUGUCCCUAAUAUAUCUCCCUACGCACUUAUUUUCAACUUUUUUGUGAUCGUAUAGUUGUAUCUCUCGUAAGAAGUCUGUAGUGGGAUUGACUCGGCUAUAAUUUUUUCAACUUUAAUUCAAGUUGAAUCACUUAAAGUGUUUGGGUUUAUAUUUUGCAAUUUAAAAAUCUACCCAGUUUUAUGCUCCCUCUUCCAUUCUUGUCUUCUUAUACUUUACCCUCUAUCAUUAGACAUACAUUCCAUUGUUAUUUUGGUGUUUAACUUAACUCAGAGAUUAUAACAUACUUCCUUUACAAUCGACUAGCAGUAGCAGUUCUACCAAUCACCAAAUGCUAGAACCUGAGAGCACUAACUCCAUUUACUCUCCUUGUCUUUUGAUUACAUAUGAUGCAUUUUAUCUCUACAAAUACUUUAAAUCCUAGUUUUAGCUAACAUUUAUAUUUACACACACAUUUACCAUUUCCAUUGCUUUUCAUUUAUUCCUGCAUUUCUGGACUUCAUCUGGGUCAUUUUGCUUCUGCCUGAAGAAUAUCCUUCAACAUUUCUUCCAGUGUAUAGAAAUUAUUAUUUUUUCUGGUAGGUCUUUAACUCUGUUAUCAUACUUGGAGUGUAUCUUGCCCUUGCUCCUCUUCCUCAUCUGUAAUGUGGGCACUG
rnacentral:lncRNA from 1 species